rnacentral:rRNA from 1 species
CGGCGGACGGGUGAGUAACGCGUGGGUAACCUGCCUCAUACAGGGGGAUAACAGUUAGAAAUGGCUGCUAAUACCGCAUAAGCACACAGCUUCGCAUGGUGCGGGGUAAAAACUCCGGUGGUAUGAGAUGGACCCGCGUCUGAUUAGCUAGUUGGUAAGGUAACGGCUUACCAAGGCGACGAUCAGUAGCCGACCUGAGAGGGUGACCGGCCACAUUGGGACUGAGACACGGCCCAA